GUGGGGAAUAUUGGACAAUGGGGGGAACCCUGAUCCAGCCAUGCCGCGUGUGUGAAGAAGGCCUUUUGGUUGUAAAGCACUUUAAGCGAGGAGGAGGCUACCGAGAUUAAUACUCUUGGAUAGUGGACGUUACUCGCAGAAUAAGCACCGGCUAACUCUGUGCCAGCAGCCGCGGUAAUACAGAGGGUGCAAGCGUUAAUCGGAUUUACUGGGCGUAAAGCGCGCGUAGGUGGCCAAUUAAGUCAAAUGUGAAAUCCCCGAGCUUAACUUGGGAAUUGCAUUCGAUACUGGUUGGCUAGAGUAUGGGAGAGGAUGGUAGAAUUCCAGGUGUAGCGGUGAAAUGCGUAGAGAUCUGGAGGAAUACCGAUGGCGAAGGCAGCCAUCUGGCCUAAUACUGACACAGAGGUGCGAAAGCAUGGGGAGCAAACAGGAUUAGAAACCCUGGUAGUCC
rnacentral:rRNA from 1 species